AUUUACAUCCACAGCCAGAGCUGGUGUGAGAUGAGGGUUGGUGUGUGAUGGCAGUAGGUGUGUGAUGAGUGUGAGUAGGUGUGUGAUGAGUGUGUGAGUAGGUGUGUGAUGAGUGUGUGAGUAGGUGUGUGAUGAGUGUGAGAGUAGGUCUGUGAGUAGAGCGUCUGCCAAAUGCCUGUAAUGUAAUGUGUGAUGAGUGUAGAUGUGAGAUGAGGGUUGGUGUGUGAUGGCAGUAGGUGUGUGAUGAGGGUUGGUGUGUGAUGAGAGUAGGUGUGUGAAGAGAGUGUGAGAGUAGGUGUGUGAUGAGGGUUGGUGUGAGAUGAGAGUAGGUGUGUGAUGAGAAUAGGUGUGUGAUGAGGGUUG